rnacentral:rRNA from 1 species
AUACGUAGGGUGCGAGCGUUAAUCGGAAUUACUGGGCGUAAAGCGUGCGCAGGCGGUUUUGUAAGUCAGGGGUGAAAUCCCCGGGCUCAACCUGGGAACUUCCAUUGUGACUGGAAGGCUGGAGUGCGGCAGAGGGGGGUGGAAUUCCGCGUGUAGCCGUGAAAUGCGUAGAUAUGGGGAGGAACACCGAUGGCGAAGGCAAUCCCCUGGGCCUGCACUGACGCUCAUGCACGAAAGCGUGGGGAGCAAACAGGAUUAGAUACCCUGGUAGUCCACGCCCUAAACGAUGUCAACUGGUUGUUGGGAAUUUAUUUUCUCAGUAACGAAGCUAACGCGUGAAGUUGACCGCCUGGGGAGUACGGCCGCAAGGUUAAAACUCAAAGGAAUUGACGGGG